GACGAACGCUGGCGGCGUGCUUAACACAUGCAAGUCGAACGGAAAGGCCCUGCUUUUGUGGGGUGCUCGAGUGGCGAACGGGUGAGUAACACGUGAGUAACCUGCCCUUGACUUUGGGAUAACUUCAGGAAACUGGGGCUAAUACCGGAUAGGAGCUCCUGCUGCAUGGUGGGGGUUGGAAAGUUUCGGCGGUUGGGGAUGGACUCGCGGCUUAUCAGUUUGUUGGUGGGGUAGUGGCUUACCAAGGCUUUGACGGGUAGCCGGCCUGAGAGGGUGACCGGCCACAUUGGGACAUAGAUACGGCCCAGACUCCUACGGGAGGCAGCAGUGGGGAAUAUUGCACAAUGGGCAGAAGCCUGAUGCAGCAACGCCGCGUGCGGGAUGACGGCCUUCGGGUUGUAAACCGCUUUCGCCUGUGACGAAGCGUGAGUGACGGUAAUGGGUAAAGAAGCACCGGCUAACUACGUG
rnacentral:rRNA from 1 species